GUAAGGAUGGCCGAGUGGUCUAAGGCUCCAGACUCAAGCUUGGCUUCCUCUACAUCAAGGAUUCUGGUCUCCGAAUGGAGGUGUGGGUUCGAAUCCCACUUCUGACA
rnacentral:tRNA from 1 species